rnacentral:rRNA from 1 species
GAUGAACGCUGGCGGCGUGCCUAAUACAUGCAAGUCGAGCGAACGGACGAGAAGCUUGCUUCUCUGAUGUUAGCGGCGGACGGGUGAGUAACACGUGGAUAACCUACCUAUAAGACUGGGAUAACUUCGGGAAACCGGAGCUAAUACCGGAUAAUAUUUUGAACCGCAUGGUUCAAAAGUGAAAGACGGUCUUGCUGUCACUUAUAGAUGGAUCCGCGCUGCAUUAGCUAGUUGGUAAGGUAACGGCUUACCAAGGCAACGAUGCAUAGCCGACCUGAGAGGGUGAUCGGCCACACUGGAACUGAGACACGGCCCAGACUCCUACGGGAGGCAGCAGUAGGGAAUCUUCCGCAAUGGGCGAAAGCCUGACGGAGCAACGCCGCGUGAGUGAUGAAGGUCUUCGGAUCGUAAAACUCUGUUAUUAGGGAAGAACAUAUGUGUAAGUAACUGUGCACAUCUUGACGGUACCUAAUCAGAAAGCCACGGCGAACUACGU